UAGAGUGACCAACCAUCCUGGUGUGCCCAAGACUGGGUGGUUUCCUGGGACAUAGGUCUUUCAGUGCUAAAAUUGGCUCAGUCCUAGGCAGACCAGAAUAGUUGGUCAUCCUAAACAAAG
rnacentral:pre_miRNA from 1 species